GAUGAAGAACGCAGCGAAAUGCGAUAAGUAAUGUGAAUUGCAGAAUUCAGUGAAUCAUCGAGUCUUUGAACGCACAUUGCGCCCCCUGGUAUUCCGGGGGGCAUGUCUGUCCGAGCGUCAUUGCUGCCCUCAAGCACGGCUUGUGUGUUGGGCCCCGCCCCCCGGCUCCCGGGGGGCGGGCCCGAAAGGCAGCGGCGGCACCGCGUCCGGUCCUCGAGCGUAUGGGGCUUCGUCACCCGCUCCGUAGGCCCGGCCGGCGCCCGCCGGCGACCCCCCUCAAUCUUUUCAGGUUGACCUCGGAUCAGGUAGGGAUACCCGCUGAACUUAAGCAUAUCAAUAAGCGGAGGA
rnacentral:misc_RNA from 1 species